ensembl:lncRNA
CUUUUGUUAUCCUUUAUCUUGACUCUACUAUUAGGUUGUAUGCAUGAUCAUUUUUGUGUCUGCUUUGGUUAUGUGAUAUUAAUAACCAGUGUUGGGACUAACGCGUUAUUAAGUAACGCGUUACCGUAACUACGUUAUUAUUGUGGUAAUGAGCACGGUAACUAGUUAUUAUGCCAAAACCAGGAACGCGUUACUCGUUACUGGGAUUUAGAUAGGCUCGUUACUCGUUACUUCGUGUGGUGGAUGUCGCGGAGCUUCCACAGAUUCAAUAACAUUAGCAAGUGGUGGAAGCCAGCAGGUGGAUGAAGGAAAAGGGAGGCAAGAGGAGGGCACAACACCAGUCCGAGUGUCAGGUGAACUGAACUUCAGCACAAAGAGGGAGAGAGAGGAACAGAGAGGGAGAGAGAGGAACAGAGAGGGAGAGAGAGGAACAGAGAGGGAGAUGGAGAAUGAGGACAGAACAGAGAUGGAACAAGAGCAGUUUUCAUGUCUGUUAAUGAUCACCCCGGAGCUGCAGGAAUGCUGGGGGUCCUGAAUGAAGAGAAUCACAAAGAAUUUCACAGAAACUACCUGAUAAUGUUUGCAUUACCAGCUGUUUUUAUUCUUUUUUAACACAUAACACAACACAAGCAAACAUUACUAAACAUUGGUUUAUGUAGUCUGGCUUUGAUACCUGAAGGACAAGAACAACCAUAAGUCACUGAAUGUGAUAUCGUCAUCAGAAGUGCACAUAACAUAAUACUGCUGUGUUAAAAAUGUUUUGAUAAGGUGUCAGGAAAAACAGGGAUUCAUGAUUUGUUACAUAUUAUUA